rnacentral:rRNA from 1 species
CCUACGGGAGGCAGCAGUGGGGAAUUUUGGACAAUGGACGCAAGUCUGAUCCAGCCAUGCCGCGUGCGGGAAGAAGGCCUUCGGGUUGUAAACCGCUUUUGUCAGGGAAGAAAUCCCUUGGGAUAAUACCUCGGGGGGGAUGACGGUACCUGAAGAAUAAGCACCGGCUAACUACGUGCCAGCAGCCGCGGUAAUACGUAGGGUGCAAGCGUUAAUCGGAAUUACUGGGCGUAAAGCGUGCGCAGGCGGUUAUGCAAGACAGAUGUGAAAUCCCCGGGCUCAACCUGGGAACUGCAUUUGUGACUGCAUAGCUUGAGUGCGGCAGAGGGGGGAUGGAAUUCCGCGUGUGGCAGUGAAAUGCGUAGAUAUGCGGAGGAACACCGAUGGCGAAGGCAAUCCCCUGGGCCUGCACUGACGCUCAUGCACGAAAGCGUGGGGAGCAAACAGGAUUAGAUACCCUGGUAGUCCACGCCCUAAACGAUGUCAACUGGUUGUUGGGAAGGUUCCUUCUCAGUAACGAAGCUAACGCGUGAAGUUGACCGCCUGGGGAAGUACGGCCGCAAGGUUGAAACGUUCAAAUUGAAUUGACGGCUUGAGACGNGCGAGAGACACGAGGAGGAGG